GCUGGGUGUGGUGGUGCACGCCUGUAGUCUCAGCUACUCAAAGGCUGAGGCAGGAGGAUUGCUUGAGCCUGGGAGGUCAGAGCUGAAGUGGGUGAGCUGUGAUGUGAUUGCACCACUGCACUCCAGCCUGGGCAACUGAGCGAGACCCUAUCUCAA
rfam:Pan troglodytes isolate Yerkes chimp pedigree #C0471 (Clint) chromosome 6, whole genome shotgun sequence.